ensembl:snoRNA Small nucleolar RNA SNORD60
AGCCACUGAUGACAAACUAAACAUUUUUUCUGACACCUCGUAUGAGAGCUAAGCUCCUGAUUCUAACGCUAAUCUGAGGCUU